ensembl:lncRNA PRSS30P serine protease 30, pseudogene
GCGGGAAGUUUGCCGGAAACGGACAGAAAGGAGUCCCUGCGACCGCGUAGCCUCCUGCAGCGCCCCCUGUUGGCAGAGUCGUAGCGAGGCCGAGAUGAGGUCCGUGACGUGGCUGCGUGAGCAUCCCGGCUGCCUGUGGAUGAGUGGGCGUGGGGCUGAGAGGCGACAACAGUGGGGAGCUUCCUCAGCGAUCCUGGGCUUCUCGGGUCAGGCCAACUUCAGUCCGGGCUGGAGGCCGUGCACAACACCAAGCGCAUGGUGGGGUCCUCAGCUGCCUCGGGACUGGCUCCGCCUCUGCCCCUGGCCCUGGGAUGGGGGCCAAAGGUUUUGGGCAGUGGCAGCAGCAGGAGGAAGUAGCACCUGGAAAACGUGUCUCCUGAGUCGACCCUUCCUGUCUGGGGGGGCCGAACCCUGGCUGUCUUUGUUCCCAUAGCAACGAAUAGGGCUCCCCUAUGUUCCAGCCCCUUAGAUACGGUGUGCCCCAGGAGGGCUCUGCAGGAGCUACAGGUCCUUCUGGUGGGAAGGGAGGCGGGAGGUGGGCUGGGGCAGCCCGGCUGGCCUGUGUGGAGACAUCACACUUCCUGGUUGGGGACAGGGUGAAGAGGGUUGGUCCCCACCUCUGCCUUGAGCAGAGCUUCUAGUGGGUGAAGCAGUGGGGAUCUCCUGCCUGCCGGAAGGAUGGGUGGGGCUUCCACAUCGCAGCCCAGUAGGGUGGACUGACCGGUCUUCUGACCUCUGGCUCCUUGGAGGGACUGGCCUGAGGUGGGCCCUGGCAUCCCCAGCCUCCUCUAAACCACCUCCCUGGAACAUGCGGGACAGGAGCCCAAGCGGCAUCUGAGGAGGGCGGGUUCUGCCAGGCACAGAGGGCUCCAGCGUGAUUGCCACUGGUUAAUGACCUGCCACCCCCGCCCCCCCAACCUCUGGUGCCGUCCAAGGACUCUGACCCCAGUGCAGUGUCUGUAGGGAAGAGGAGCCAUGGGGCUUCGGGCAGGCCCCAUCCUGCUUCUGCUGCUGUGGCUGCUGCCAGGUAAGGGAUGCGCCUCUGUCUUCUCCUCCCUCCCAUCCCCUGCCAGCCUGUGUGCCCCCCUUUGCUCUCUUGCUUUCCAGGGGCCCAUUGGGAUGUGCUGCCUUCAGGUACCGUAGACAUCUCAUCCCUGCACUCAAACAGCCCCUACUCCUGGCCAGGGAGGACUGGCCCCAGGGGACAUGCAGAGGCCCUUGGCCCUGGGAGCCUCAUCCCUGGACAUCAAGGGCAGAGGAAUGUCAGAAGGGAUGUCAGAAGGGCAGAGGGAUGUUAGGAAUGCGGCCACUCCAAGGAGGCCGGGAGGAUUGUGGGAGGCCAAGACACCCAGGAAGGACGCUGGCCGUGGCAGGUUGGCCUGUGGUUGACCUCAGUGGGGCAUGUAUGUGGGGGCUUCCUCAUCCACCCACGCUGGGUGCUCACAGCCGCCCACUGCUUCCUGAGGUGAGUGGCGCUGGGUGGGGGUGCUCCUCACCCCUCCCCUUGGCGGCUGCCUGCAGUGGGCCGUGUUUCCAUUCCCCUCCCAGGUCUGAGGAUCCCGGGCUCUACCAUGUUAAAGUCGGAGGGCUGACACCCUCACUUUCAGAGCCCCACUCGGCCUUGGUGGCUGUGAGGAGGCUCCUGGUCCACUCCUCAUACCAUGGGACCACCACCAGCGGGGACAUUGCCCUGAUGGAGCUGGACUCCCCCUUGCAGGCCUCCCAGUUCAGCCCCAUCUGCCUCCCAGGACCCCAGACCCCCCUCGCCAUUGGGACCGUGUGCUGGGUAAACGGGCUGGGGGUCCACUCAGGAGAGGGGGAAGGGGAAUAUGCACUCACCAGCCCCUACUCCUAGUCAGGGAGGACAAGCCCAGGGACCACGCAGAGCCAGCCUGAGUGGUCUCCACAGACGUUGGUCUGCGUGUUUAUCUCCUCUCCCCUCCCACCCCACCCUGAAGCUGGGAACACUUGGGGCCAGGACCCAUGCUGUCCAGACUGUGGGACUCCCCUUGGCCAAGGUGACCACCAUAUUGGAUUUUGGGGAUCUUGAGCCAGUGUCCAGGAUUGUGCCCGUGUUGGGAUGAAUAAGCCAAGGCUAAGAGGUCAUGAGAUUAGCCAGGGUCAUGGGAGAGGAUCUGGGCUUGAGCCCUGCUCCCUGACCCCACUGCCUCCUGGUUUGGGAGUUGAGAAGAGCAGGGUGGGUGGGCAGAGAAGAGGUAGGAGGUGCAGGCUGCCACCAUCACAGGUGAGAGGGCAGAGGCUCACCUGAUGGGGACGAGGCUUGAGGUGGGCUCAGGCUGGCCCCCACAUCACAUCCAGCCCUGGCGAGUGUCCUUCAGGAGGUGGCUGUGCCCCUCCUGGACUCGAACAUGUGUGAGCUGAUGUACCACCUAGGAGAGCCCAGCCUGGCUGGCCAGCGCCUCAUCCAGGACGACAUGCUCUGUGCUGGCUCUGUCCAGGGCAAGAAAGACUCCUGCCAGGUGACUGCAGCUCCUGGUCACCCCAUCCAGUUGUGUGGGCCCUUUAGGCUCACCCUGUCCUGGACUUUCUCCCCAUGUCCCACACCUCAGGGUCUCCAGAGGGACCAGAGUCCUUGCCUAGCUCCUUGGCCUCAGCAGCAGAUUCUCGAAGGCACUUGGGGCCCAGGUGUCUCCCUCAAUGCAGACCUCAUGGGGCCCUCCCUCUCUCUCCCCCAGGGUGACUCCGGGGGGCCGCUGGUCUGCCCCAUCAAUGAUACGUGGAUCCAGGCCGGCAUUGUGAGCUGGGGAUUCGGCUGUGCCCGGCCUUUCCGGCCUGGUGUCUACACCCAGGUGCUAAGCUACACAGACUGGAUUCAGAGAACCCUGGCUGAAUCUCACUCAGGCAUGUCUGGGGCCCGCCCAGGUGCCCCAGGAUCCCACUCAGGCACCUCCAGAUCCCACCCAGUGCUGCUGCUUGAGCUGUUGACCGUAUGCUUGCUUGGGUCCCUGUGAACCAUGAGCCAUGGAGUCCGGGAUCCCCUUUCUGGUA